GCCUCAGUCGUAUAGCCAGGUCAAGUAUCCCAGCCUCUCGAGCUGGGGACCGGGGUUCAAAUCCCCGCUGAGGCA
rnacentral:tRNA from 12 species